rnacentral:rRNA from 1 species
ACGGAAUAGAUACCCAGGUAGUCCACGCCCUAAACGAUGUCUACUAGUUGUCGGGUCUUAAUUGACUUGGUAAACGCAGCUAAACGCGUGAAGUAGACCGCCUGGGGAGUACGGUCGCAAGAUUAAAACUCAAAGGAAUUGACGGGGACCCGCACAAGCGGUGGAUGAUGUGGAUUAAUUCGAUGCAACGCGAAAAACCUUACCUACCCUUGACAUGGAUGGAAUCCUUGAGAGAUUGAGGAGUGCCCGAAAGGGAACCAUUACACAGGUGCUGCAUGGCUGUCGUCAGCUCGUGUCGUGAGAUGUUGGGUUAAGUCCCGCAACGAGCGCAACCCUUGUCAUUAGUUGCUACGAAAGGGCACUCUAAUGAGACUGCCGGUGACAAACCGGAGGAAGGUGGGGAUGACGUCAAGUCCUCAUGGCCCUUAUGGGUAGGGCUUCACACGUCAUACAAUGGUACAUACAGAGGGCCGCAACCCGCGAGGGGAGCUAAUCCCAGAAAGUGUAUCGUAGUCCGGAUUGUAGUCUGCAACUCGACUGC